rnacentral:rRNA from 1 species
CUAGUGGCGGACGGGUGAGUAACGCGUGGGUAACCUGCCUUAUACAGGGGGAUAACAGUCAGAAAUGGCUGCUAAUACCGCAUAAGCGCACAGAGCUGCAUGGCUCGGUGUGAAAAACUCCGGUGGUAUAAGAUGGACCCGCGUUGGAUUAGCUGGUUGGUGGGGUAACGGCCCACCAAGGCGACGAUCCAUAGCCGGCCUGAGAGGGUGAACGGCCACAUUGGGACUGAGACACGACCCAGACUCCUACGGGAGGCAGCAGUGGGGAAUAUUGCACAAUGGGGGAAACCCUGAUGCAGCGACGCCGCGUGAAGGAAGAAGUAUCUCGGUAUGUAAACUUCUAUCAGCAGGGAAGAUAGUGACGGUACCUGACUAAGAAGCCCCGGCUAACUACGUGCCAGCAGCCGCGGUAAUACGUAGGGGGCAAGCGUUAUCCGGAUUUACUGGGUGUAAAGGGAGCGUAGACGGUGUGGCAAGUCUGAUGUGAAAGGCAUGGGCUCAACCUGUGGACUGCAUUGGAAACUGUCAUACUUGAGUGCCGGAGGGGUAAGCGGAAUUCCUAGUGUAGCGGUGAAAUGCGUAGAUAUUAGGAGGACACCAGUGGCGAUGGCGGCUUACUGGACGGUAACUGACGUUGA